UCCAACAGCCACGUACUCCAUAAACAGC
rnacentral:piRNA from 1 species